rnacentral:lncRNA from 1 species
GAUUUUAUUUUUUCUUUUUGUUGUUCAAGUCGAUCACUGGUUUUUUUUUUACUAAAAAAGAAGGAAGAAUAGAUAGCAUGGCCCAAAUUCUCUACUAUUAUUAUAAUAGGACCCUCUAAAGCUAUUGGAUAAACCUAUCUAUGGGUUGCUCCUCGAUCUAGAAAAUAUGAGGGAAUCCUUUACCGCCUAAAAAUGAGUAUUUAAAUCAUGACUGGGC